rnacentral:rRNA from 1 species
AUUGAACGCUGGCGGCAGGCCUAACACAUGCAAGUCGAACGAGAGGCGGGCGGGUGAGCAAUGAAUGGGAAACUGCCUGAUGGAGGGGGAUAACAAAGGGGAACGGUAGCUAAUAACGUAUAGCAUCGGAUGUGACCGAAUGGGAUUGACUUGGUGGUGGGGUAACGGCUGACCAAGGCGACGAUCCCUAGCUGGUCUGAGAGGUGGACCAGCCACACUGGAACUGAGACACGGUCCAGACUCCUACGGGAGGCAGCAGUGGGGAAUAUUGGACAAUGGGCGAAAGCCUGAUGCAGCCAUGCCGCGUGUAUGAAGAAGGUCUUCGGAUUGGAAAGUACUUUCAGCGGGGAGGCGUUACCCGCAGAAUAAGCACCGGCUAACUCCGUGCCAGCAGCCGCGGUAAUUC